GGGGUUAUAGCGCAGUGGUAGCGCGCCCGCUUUGCAUGCGGGAGGUCUAGGGUUCGAUCCCCUAUUUCUCCA
rnacentral:tRNA from 1 species